CGUUGGUGAACCAGCGGAGGGAUCAUUACCGAGUUUUCAACUCCCAAACCCUUAUGUGAACCUACCUAUCGUUGCUUCGGCGGACUCGCCCCAGCCGGACGCGGACUGGACCAGCGGCCGCCGGGGACCAUCAAACUCUUGUAUUAUCAGCAUCUUCUGAAUACGCCGCAAGGCAAAACAAAUAAAUUAAAACUUUCAACAACGGAUCUCUUGGCUCUGGCAUCGAUGAAGAACGCAGCGAAAUGCGAUAAGUAAUGUGAAUUGCAGAAUCCAGUGAAUCAUCGAAUCUUUGAACGCACAUUGCGCCCGCCAGCAUUCUGGCGGGCAUGCCUGUUCGAGCGUCAUUUCAACCCUCGACCUCCCUUUGGGGAAGUCGGCGUUGGGGACCGGCAGCACACCGCCGGCCCUGAAAUGGAGUGGCGGCCCGUCCGCGGCGACCUCUGCGUAGUAAACCAACUCGCACCGGAACCCCGACGUGGCCACGCCGUAAAACACCCAACUUCUGAACGUUGACCUCGAAUCAGGUAGGACUACCCGCUGAACUUAAGCAUAUCAAUAAGCGGAGGAAAAGAAAC
rnacentral:rRNA from 1 species